CGUGUCUCUCUUACGUUGGGGUCCAUCCCAGGUCCAGCUUAUAAAAGCAAAAACUGUAAAAGCUUGUACACAUGUACAGGAAGUGUUGCUGGCUGGCUGGCUUGGGUUCAGGCUUAUUGUAGCUAACUAGACAAAGAAGUUCCAACUGACCCCUAUUGUGAGUGGUUUCCAAGAGCACCAAAGCAUAGAACAUAACAGAAUAUUCAUUCAACUUGGGCAUGAAAAAGUUUCCUAGUAACAGCAAUAAUAUCAUAAAAUGGCAGACUAGACCGGCAGCAGUUACCCAGGCCUUUGUUAUGGAUUUGACUUAAAGCUUACGUUAUGUCAGUUGGGUUCAAAAAUUGUACACGAAUCCUGCAUGCAAGACACUGAGUGUCCCUGUCCCCAGUUGGUUUUGAUUGGUAAAUAAAGUUGCCAGUGGCCAAUGGUUGGGCAGGGAGACAGAAGCAGGCAAGGGGAUGAGGAAAAGAAGGAGUUAGAUUGCCAUGCCUGAAAAGGAAUAUGAUGCAGGCUUGAGAGCUGCAGAAGAUGAGUACCAAUCAGGUUUCUUUGGCUCAUGGUGUUUAUCACAGCAGCAGAAGGGGAGCCAGGCGAGCAGCGGGUCACCUCAGUUCUCUAAUUUAAACUUCCGAUCACUGGGACCAUCAACACCCACCUGCUCAGCAUUCAGAGUCAAGCACAUCAGACGACAGGAAAUAUAGAAGUGUGUCGGGAACGGUUGAGAUGGCUUCUCUUCCAUAUGUAUAUAUUUAAUGAUCAUUAAAUUUUCAUCUCAAA